UACCAUGCAGUCGAGCGGAUGAAGGGAGCUUGCUCUCUGAUUCAGCGGCGGACGUGUGAGUAAUGCCUAGGAAUCUGCCUAUUAGUGGGGGACAACGUUUCGAAAGGAACGCUAAUACCGCAUACGUCCUACGGGAGAAAGCAGGGGACCUUCGGGCCUUGCGCUAAUAGAUGAGCCUAGGUCGGAUUAGCUAGUUGGUGAGGUAAAGGCUCACCAAGGCAACGAUCCGUAACUGGUCUGAGAGGAUGAUCAGUCACACUGGAACUGAGACACGGUCCAGACUCCUACGGGAGGCAGCAGUGGGGAAUAUUGGACAAUGGGCGAAAGCCUGAUCCAGCCAUGCCGCGUGUGUGAAGAAGGUCUUCGGAUUGUAAAGCACUUUAAGUUGGGAGGAAGGGCAGUAAGUUAAUACCUUGCUGUUUUGACGUUACCGACAGAAUAAGCACCGGCUAACUUCGUGCCAGCAGCCGCGGUAAUACGAAGGGUGCAAGCGUUAAUCGGAAUUACUGGGCGUAAAGCGCGCGUAGGUGGUUCGUUAAGUUGGAUGUGAAAGCCCCGGGCUCAACCUGGGAACUGCAUCCAAAACUGGCGAGCUAGAGUAUGGCAGAGGGUGGUGGAAUUUCCUGUGUAGCGGUGAAAU
rnacentral:rRNA from 1 species